AAAGAGAACAACCCCCCCUUUUUCAUACAUCCAACUAUCGAAGAAGAGAUACUUUUCUUUUCGGACCGAGAAACAGGAGGCGCAUGGGGUUUGUUUCACCUCAGCUUGGGAAAUGAGAUGUAGGGUCCAAUCCGACCAAAACCCUAACCUUUAUUGCCCGUUGGUUAGGCUGGGCACUCUAGGGAGACUGCCAUUGACAACCCGGAGGAAGGCGGGGAUGACGUCAAAUCAUCAUGCCCCUUAUGUCCUGGGCUACACACGUGCUACAAUGGUGGGUACAAAGGGGAGCAAAACCGCGAAGGCAAAGCAAUCCCAAAAACCCCAUCCCAGUUCGGAUUGCAGUCUGCAACUCGCCUGCAUGAAGUUGGAAUCGCUAGUAAUCGCGGAUCAAGA
rnacentral:rRNA from 1 species